rnacentral:lncRNA from 1 species
UAAUAGUGCAAGAAAUAGAAACAUGAAAGGAAACAUACUAGUAAUUACUAAAACAAAACUGGAUUUCCAACAAUUAGCACAAGUGCGCACUCUUCACCUCACGUACAAGGCAUUCCAAUUACCAAAUAUACCAAUCCUAAGGGGAAGGUCCCCCCCACAAGGUUAGACAAGCCACUUUCCUCGAACCGGCUCAAAAUUAAUCCAAAACCACACCUUUGCCACGAGUACUCGACUCCAAAUGGCCCAAAUCUAUUCAAUUCAAUAGCAUAAUGUAAAUAGCACUUCAAGUAACUGAUUCUACUAUUAGAUUCUAAGCUAAUACGCGAAAACCAAAAUGCCCCUCGGGCCCACGUCUCGGAAUCUGGUAAAAUUUAUAUUUUCAGAAUCCUCAUACCCUCACGAGUCUAACCAUACCAAAAUUAUCCAAUUCCGAUACCAUUUGGUCCUUCAAAUAAUCAUUUUACAUUUUUGAAAGAUUUCACAAGUUUUCUUCCCAAAUUCCAUCCCAAAUCAUGAAUUAAAUGAUGAAUUCAAUGAUUGAUUCAUGUACUCUAGCCAAAUCUGAAUUAGAAUCACUUACCCCGAUGAAUUUCUUGAAAAACCUUCAAAAAAUCGCCAAAAUCCGAGCUCUCUAGGUCAAAAUAUGAAAUAAAACCCAAAACCUCGUAUUUAUAGAGCACCCCCAGAUUUUCACAACUGCGGACUGCACAAAAACGAGUGCUGUCCGCACAGGUUUUGACUGCAGUGACAGGCUUUAGUAUUUUGGCCAUAACGUUUUCUACAUAUGUUCAAAUUGUGAUUUCUUUUCCUUUCUGGAAACUAGACACAAAGGGCUACACGUUUUGUUUUUGAAUCAUCCCAAAAUUUCUUGUACAUCAAAAGAUAUGAGCUUCCGAAGUAGGACCGGUGAAAUUUUCCUCACUGCGGACUGCACUGCAUUUUAUGCGGCUGCACAGCCCCCACCGCGGACGCACUGGAUUUUGUGCAGCCCGAACUGGUGGGUUCCGAGGCCUGCAACUCUUCUGGACCUGCAAUAGCUAUGAUUUUCGGCCUAAAAUAUUCCGGAACCUACCCGGAACACACCCGAGUCCCCGGGACUUCAAACCAAUUGUACCAACACAUCCCAUGACAUCGUUCAAACUUUUUCAAAACUUCGGAACGCUCACUACAACAUCAAAUCACCAAUUUAACAUAGGAUUCAAGCCUAAGAACUCCAAGAACUCUUAACUCAUGCUUUCGAUCAAAAAGUCUAUUAAAUCUCGUCCGAAUGACCUAAAAUUUUGCAAGCACGUCACAUUCAACACUACGGAGCUACUCCAAUUUUCGGAAUUCCAUUCCAACCCUUAGAUCAAAAUCUCACUAUCGGACCGGAAACUUCAAAAAUUUCGCCAUUUCAAGCCUAAAUUAGCUACGAACCUCCAAAACACAAUCCGAUCACGCCCCUAAGCCCGAAAUCAUCCAACGGAGCUAACGGAACCGUCGGAUUUCCAUUCGGAGGCCGUCUUAAUACUGUUAUGAGUACGGUCAACUUUCCAACACUUAAGCUCUCAUUCUGGGACUAAGUGUCCCAAAAUUCCCCGAAACUCAAAACCAAACAUCCCGGCAAAUCAAAAUAGCAGAAAUAAACUCGGGAAAGUAAUUAAUAGGGGAUUGGGACGUUAAUUCUUAAGAGGACCGUCCGAGUCGUCACAUCCUCCUACACUUAAACAUUCAUUCGUGCUCGAAUGAGCAUAGAGACAUACCUGAAGUAGUGAAAAGAUGAGGGUAACAGCUGCUCAUAUAUUGCUCGGUCUCCCAGGUCGCCUCCUUGACCGGAUGGCCCCGCUAUUAAUCUUUCACCGAUACAAUGUUCUUUGACCUCAGUUUUCUGACCUGCCUGUCCAAUAUUGCCUGGCUCCUCAACAUAAGAUAGAUCCUUGUCCAACUGGACUGAACUGAAAUCCAACACAUGCGACAGAUCGCCGUGAUACCUCCAGAGCAUCGAAACAUGAAAUACCGGAUGAACUCCUGCCAAGCUGGGAGGUAAGGCAAGCUCAUAAGCAACCUCCCCAACACGCCUCAAUAUCUAAAAAGGGCCAAUAAACCUUGGACUCAACUUCCCUUUCUUCCCGAAUCUCAUAACGCCCUUCAUAAGCGAAACCCGAAGCAAAACUUGCUAUCCAACCAUAUAGGAAACAUCACGAACCUUCCGGUCUGCGUAACUCUUCUGUCUGGACUGAGCUGUGCGAAGUCUAUCCUGAAUCCCCUUAACUUUCUCCAAAGCAUCCUGGACCAGGUCUGUGCCCAACAAUCUGGCCUCACCCGGCUCAAACCAACCCAUCAGAGAUCUACACCGCCUCCCAUAUAAAGCCUCAUACAGUGCCAUCUGAAUGCUGGACUGAUAGCUGUUGUUAUAAGCAAACUCUGCUAAUGGCAAGAACUGAUCCCAAGACCCUCCAAACUCAAUCACACACGCAUGGAGCAUAUCCUUAAGAAUCUGAAUAGUGCGCUCCAACUGUACGUCCGUCUGAGGGUGAAAUGCUGUACUCAACUCCACCCGAGUACCCAACUCAUACUGAAUGGCUCUCCAAAACCGUGAUGUGAACUGGGUACCUCUAUGUGAAAUGAUGGAAACCGGGAUACCAUGCAGACGAACAAUCUCCCGGAUAUAGAUCUCUGCCAGCCGCUCCGAGGAAUAAGUAGUACACACAGGAAUAAAAUGAGCGGACUUGGUCAGCUAAUCCACAAUCACCCAAACAACAUCGAACUUUCUCAAAGUCCGUGGGAGCCUAACUACAAAGUCCAUGGUAAUCCGCUCCCACUUCCACUCCGGAAUCUCUAUCUGCUGAAGUAAUCCACCCGGUCUCUGGUGUUCAUACUUCACCUGCUGAUAGUUGAGGCACCGAGCUGCAAAUCCAACUAUUUCCUUCUUCAUCCGCCUCCACGAAUAGUGUUGUCUCAAAUCCUGAUACAUCUUUGCGACACCCAGAUGGAUGGAAAACCACGAACUAUGGGCCUCCUCUAGAAUCAACUCUCAAAGCACAUCAACAUUGGGUACACAAAUCCGACCCUGCAUCCUUAAUACCCCAUCAUCACCAACAGUCACAUCUCUAGCAUCACUGUGCUGAACCUUGUCCUUGAGUACAAGCAAAUAAGGGUCAUCAUACUGCCGCUCCCUAAUACGAUCGAAUAAGGAAGACCGAGAAACCACGCAAGCUAGAACCCAACUGGGCUCUGAAAGAUCCAAUCUCACAAACUAGCCAGCUAAGGCCUGAACAUCAAUUGCCAUAGGCCUCUCUGAUGCUGGUAAAUAAGCCAAACUCCCCAAACUCUCUGCCCGGCGACUCAAAGCAUCAACCACCACAUUGGCCUUGCCCGGGUGAUACAAAAUGGUGAUGUCAUAGUCUUUCAGCAACUCUAACCACCUCCUCUGGCACAAAUUUAGAUCCUUUUUCUUGAACAAGUGAUGCAAGCUCCGAUGGUCAGUAUAAAUCUCACAGGGAACAUCGUAUAAGUAAUGGCGCCAAAUCUUAAGGGCGUGAACAAUGGCAGCUAAAUCAAGGUCAUGAACAUGAUAGUUCUUCUCAUGUAUCUUCAACUGUCUAGACACGUAGACAAUCACCCUACCGUUUUGCAUCAACACCGCUCCGAGGCCAACCCUCGAGGCAUUACAAUAGACCGUACAAGACCUCGAACCUGUAGGCAGUAUCAAUAUUGGGGUUGUGGUCAAAGCUGUCUUGAGCUUCUGAAAGCUCGCCUCACACUCCUUUGUCCACUAAAACGGAGCACCCUUCAGUGUCAACCUGGUCAUCGGGGCUGUAAUCGAUGAAAACCCAUCCACAAAACGACGGUAGUAGCCCACCAAACCAAGGAAACUGCAGAUCUCAGUAGCUGAGGAUGGUCUGGGCCAACUCUGCACGACCUCUAUCUUCUUCGGAUCCACCUGAAUACCCUCACUCGAUACCACGUGGCCUAAGAAUGCCACUAAAUCCAACCAGAACUCACAUUCGAGAAUUUAGCAUAUAACUUCUUCUCUCUCAAAGUCUGAAGCACGGUCCUCAGGUGCUGCUCGUGAUCUUCCCAACUCCGGGAAUACACCAGAAUAUCAUCAAUAAAUACAAUAAUGAACGAGUCAAGAUAUGGUCGGAACAUACUAUGCAUCAAAUGCAUAAAGGCUGCUGGGGCAUUGGUCAUCCCAAAUGACAUAACAAGGAACUUGUAAUGACCAUACCGUGUCCUGAAGGCAGUAUUCAGGAUAUCUGGCUCCUGAAUCUUCAACUGAUGGUAACCUGAGCUCAAAUUAAUCUUACAAAACACACGUGCGCCUUGAAGCUGGUCAAACAGAUCAUCAAUAUGAGGCAAAGGAUAACGGUUUUUCAUUGUAACCUUGUUCAACUGGCGAUAAUCAAUACACAUACGCAUAGACCCAUCCUUUUUCUUUACAAACAAGACAGGAGCACCCCAAGGUGAUACACUGGGCCGAAUAAAACCCUUAUCAAGCAAUUCCUAUAACUGAUCCUUCAACUCAGGAGGAGCCAUACGAUACAGAGGGAUAGAAAUGGGCUGAGUACCCAACAACAGAUCAAUGCCAAAAUCAAUAUCUCUAUCAAGCGGUAUGCCUGGAAGAUCAACUGGAAACACAUCGGGAAAAUCCCAUACUACUGGAACUGAAUCAACUGAAGGGGUAUCAAUACUGACAUCUCUCACAUAAGCUAAAUACGCAUAACACCCCUUCUCAAACAUACACUGAGCUUUAAGAAAAGAAAUAACUCUACUGGGAGUGUGAUCUAAAGUACCCCUCGACUUAACACGCGGUACACCUAGCAUAGCCAGCGUCACAGUUUUGAUGUGACAAUCAAGAAUAACAUAAUGGGGCGACAUUAGUCUAUGCCCAAGAUUAUAUCAAAAUCAACCAUGUUGAGUAAUAAUAGAUUGGCUCUGGUCUCAAAACCACUAAGAUCAACCAAACACGACCGAUAAACAUGGUCCACAACAAUAGAAUCCCCCACAAGAGUAGAAACAUAAACAUGGGAACUCAAAGGAUCCCGAGGUACACCAAAAUGUGGAGCAAAAUAAGAAGACACAUAAGAGUAAGUAGAGCCUGGAUCGAAUAGAACCGAUGCAUUUCUGCAACAAACCAAUAUAAUACCUAUGAUGACAGAAUCGGAGGCAACAACCUCGGUACGGGCAGGAAGGGCAUAGUAUCUAGCCCGACUUCCCCCUAUAGGGCGACCUCUACCUCCCCGACCUCCACCUCUAUCUGUCUGAGUAGGUGGGAUAGCAACUGGAGCUAUAACCAUAGCCUGAGAACUCUGCGGGACACGCUGUGGUUGAGAAGUCUGUGGAGGUGCACCCCUCCUAAGUCUAGGGAAAUCCCUCACCAUAUGGCAUGUGUCACCACACUCAAAACAAGCUAUGGGAGGACGUGGUGGUUGUGACUGGCUAGGGCUAGGUCUGCUGGACUGACCUCUGAAAGCACCCUGCGCAGGAGGCGUACUAGAUACCGGUGGUGCAUGAUAAGGCUCCUGAGGUCUAGGAAGAGCUGGAAUACCACUGGCUACUGAAAGAGCUGAAUGUACAGAGCGACUCAUAUAAUCCCUACCAUGAAGAUCUAUAGUUGGGGUACGGGCACCAUAAUAAUGGCCCGACUCUCGAGACCUCUUGGCCUCCCUCUCCUAUCUCUCCCUAGCAUGCAUACCCUCGAUCCUCCUAGAAAUGCUCACCACCUGCUGAUAAGAAAUAUCCAUCUCCAACUCACGAGCCAUACUAGAUCUGAUGCUGGGAAUAAGGCACUCAAUAAACCGGCGAACCCUCUCGCAAAUAGUAGAAACCAAGGAUGGCGCAUGCCUAGCCAAACUGGUGUAACAGAUAGCACACUCUAAGAUAGUCAUAGAGCCCUGGCGCAAAUGCUCAAACUCUACACACCAUGUAUCCCAGAGGCUCUGAGGAGUGUACUCUCUCAGGAACAGAUCUGAAAAAUGAGUCCAAGUCAAUGAAGUAGCCUAAUCUGGACUGUCUAACUCAUAGGUGCGCCACCACUCAUAGGUGGCUCCUCGAAGCUGGAAGGUAGUGAAAGAAACCCCGCUCAAUCUUGAGAUACCCAUGGUACGGAGAAUGCGGUAACACACAUCAAGAAAUCCUAGAGCAUCGUCCGAUGCUAGACCACUGAAUACAGGGGGCUUGUACUUCUUGAACCUCUCAAGCCUCAGCUGCUCAUCCUCGGAAGCCGCUGCCCUGUCCUCGGACUGAACUGGCACUACAGGUGGUGGGAGUCUAUGCUCCUCCCCCGGCUUGAGAUGUGGCUGCAGCAAGGGGAAGCAACCCUGCCUGAGCCAAGGUGGUGUACAUGCUCAUGAACUAUGCCAAAGUCUCCUGAAGAGCUGGAUUGAUAGUAGCAGUAGGCGCGUCAGGUGCCUGGACUCCGACUGGAUCCGCUGGUGGUACCUCGACGACAGCUCAUGCAGGUGCUCUGGCUGCACCACAUGCGCAUCCCCGACCUCUACCCCGGCCUCGGCCUUUGACGGCUGCAGUAGGGGCAUGGGUGCCUGAUCAUCUCGAGUAGCACGUGUGCUCACCAUGUGUGAGAGAAUAGAAGAUAGAAGUUUAGAAUUGUGAUGUCAAAAUAUCGCACGACAAGGAAAUCAAAUAAAGUGGAAAUUUUCCUAACAGUUACAUAGCCUCUCGUAGAUAAGUACAGAUGUUUCUGCACCGAUCAGCGAGACUCUAAUAAACCAGCUUGUGAUCCAUGACUCCUAUGAGCCUAGAGCUCUGAUACCAACUUGUCACGACCCCCGGUUCGCCCUCCGUGAAUCAUCGUGAUGGCACCUAGUCUCUACGACUAGGUAAGCCUAAACUUAAGUAAGAUAACCAAAACUUGCGGAAGUAAAACAAUUUCAAAAUAGAAAUAAAGCAAUAAUAGUGUUAAAUGUGCCACUCAGCAUACACCAUAUUUAUAUAGAUCUCAAAACCAAUAUCUAAAUCCAAGACCCGGAAACCCACGAAUCACAAGCUAAGAAAAAGAAAUACUACAUAGCUCUAACUCCGUAAUUUUUCUAAUAAGAGCAGAAAGUACAGAAGGGCUAAAUACUAAAUGGUAGGAAUAGAAAGGGACUCCUCGGUCUGCGGACACAACAGAUGUACCUCGAAGUCUCUAAGUAGUCCCCUCCCUUAAGGAUGGUAGGCCUGAGUAGAAGUACCUGGAUCUGCAGAUGAAAAACGUGCGCAGAAGGGGCAUGAGUACACCACAGCGGUACUCAGUAAGUGCCAAGCCUAACCUCGGUCGGGUAGUGACGAGGAAGGUCAGGGCCCUACUGAGUUAAAUACAAUAUAAAGGUUACCAGUGUGGAAUAAAACAGUAUGAAUAAGUGCAACAGUAAGAAAUAACAUAGAAUUGACAGAACAACAACAAUUAGAAUAGAGGCAAAACAAGCCACCAAAAGAAAUACAGCUCAACAUAGAGAUAACAACCAGGGCACCUUCCAAGAUACCGUCCUGUAGUCCCAAUUGCAACUGUCUAGUGGAUCUCCCGGGAUACCGUCCCGUAGUCCAUCAUAUAUAACCCGAAGGAUCUCCUGGGAUCCCGUCCCGUAGUCCAACUAUUAAUGCGCGGGGAUCUACCAGAGUUCUGAUCCGUAGUCCCAAAUAUAAAUACCCAGUUCUGGGGGAAUCUAUUGGGUGCAUUCCCGUAGUUCCAUAUAAUUGUGUAGGGCGAUCUACCGGGAAUCUAACCCGUAGUCCCAGAGUAAAUGUGCAGGGGGAUCUACCGGGAAUCUAACCCGUAAUCCCAGAGUAAAUGUACAGGGGGAUCUACCGGGAAUCUAACCCAUAGUCCCAAAGUAAACAGACAAGGGGGAGCUACCGGAAUCCCACAUCCGUAGUCCCAAAAUAAAUACACAGCAGCAGGAAGAUAAACAGAAAUGGCAAAAAUUUCAUAUUAAGGAAAUAAGUGAUUAUAGCGUAGCAUGCUGCACAGAAUUCAAGUAAGGCAAGUUGAAUCAAAUAAAGCAAUUAAGUCACUUAGACAUGCUUUCCUAAGCUAAUAAAAGGCUUAAUAGUGCAAGAAAUAGAAACAAGAAAGGAAAUAUACUAGUAAUUACUUAAAGAAAACCGGAUUUCCAACAAUUAGCACAAGUACGCACUCUUCACCUCACGUACAAGGAAUUUCAAUUACCAAAUAUACCAAUCCUAAGGGGAAGGUCCCCCACACAAGGUUAGACAAGCUACUUUCCUCGAACCGGCUCAAAAUUAAUCCAAAACCA